GUGCUUGCUUCAGCAGCACACAUGGAACAUUGUAAUGAUACAGAUUUAAUUAGCAUGGCUCCUAUACAAGAAUGACACACAAAUGUAUGAAGCAUUCUAUGUUUUU
ensembl:snRNA U6 U6 spliceosomal RNA